UGGGCCUGGCCUGAUGAUAAUCUCCCUCCUUUCUGAGAUUAUCUGGCCUCCUGGGUUCCUGGCCACAGCUGUGUCUUCAUGGCUCUUGGCCACUUUGUGGGAGCUUUGCUUUGUUUCUAUUCACUGUCUCUCACCUUCAGGCAGUGGAGUGUGGACAUGGGCAGGACCCUUUUGGCUGCUGGGCCUCUAAACUCCCUUCCCUGCAACAUAUAAAAGCCUGGGUAUGUUGAAAAAUGUUUUUGGCUUAUUUGUUUUUGCUUUUAUUCUGAGGAAAUAGAAGUUUAUGCCCAGAACCCAAACAACUUUGUCUGGAAUAUUAGACACUGUGUACUCUUUGGCUCACUGUUGGGCCAAAUUGCGUCCCUUCCUCCACCAAAGGAAAAAAAAGGUAUGUGGAGUCCCAACCUCCUCAGAAUGUGACCUUAUAGGGUCUUUACAGUGGUAAUCAAGUUAAAAUGAGGUCAUUUGGUGGGCUGUGGUCUGAUAUGACUGAUGUCUUUAUAAGAAGAGGAAGUUUGGACACAGGCAAGCACACGGGGAGAGUGCCAUUUAAACGUGAAGACGGGCAACAACCCAAAUGAGAGAAUGUGAUUGUAUUUGGAGAUGGAGCCUUUGAAGAUGUGAUGGAGGUAAAUUGAGCCACCAGGAUGUGCCCUAAUCCAAUCUGACUGUGCUUACAAGAAGAGGAAAUUUAGAAACAUAGAGAAACACCAGGGAUACAGGCACAGAGAAAGGACCGUGGGAGGACACAGCAAGAGGGCGGCCAUCUGCAAACCAGGGAGCAAGGCCUUAGAGGAAACCAGCCCUGCAGGCACCUUGAUCUUGGACUUCCAGCCUCCAGAACUGAUAGACCGGGGAAAUAUCAAGUCCCAGAGAACUGCUGCAUCCAGCACAUGCCACCCAGGUGGUGGGUUAGAAAGGGCGGAAUGAAGGGGGAAGACAGAGAGAAUGGAGAUGCCACUAUCCUGCAGCAACAGUGAGGUAAAAGUUAUAGGAAACAAAGAAGUAACCUUUUCUGGUACCUCAAUGCAUUGGACAUAGUUUUCAAAUCACUACGACAUGUGUGUGAAUUCUUCUGAGUUCUGUAAGGCUUUGUCCCCAGCUUUUGCCACAGGAAAGCUUCUUUGCAGUGACUCCAUCCCCUAUGCCCGUCCUUCUGGCAUCCUCGCUCCAUCCUAUGGUUGCUGUGGAGACGGCUCCAGCCCCUCAGGUCCUGUGUGUGCUGGAGGGACAUGGAGCCCUUCAGAUUUUGUAGGGUGAAGUGCCCUGAAGCCAAGGGAUUUUGCCCUGCCUGUCCUGCCCUCCUCUCUCUGCCAGCAUCAGCCUUGCCAAACUCUUCACCUAAGGCUGGCUUCCAGACAUGAGUAAGAAGAGAUGAGAUUUUGGGGCAAGGAAGACCCAGCUCGGAAACACACUUGUGAAUCUGGAUAUCUGUGUCUUAAAUAAUUUUGUGGUUUUUUUUCUUACUACUAAAUUCAUAUUCAUUGUGGAAGAUUUGGAAACUUUUGACAAGCCAAAAGAAGAAAGUAAAAAUCACUAGAUAAUCCUACCACCAAGAGACAGCCGCUGUUCAUAUUUUAGUUUACCAACUCACAUACGCAUUUUCCUACACAACUAACUCCCUAUUUAUGUGAUUGUCCACUUAGGACUUGUGAAUCUUUCCAUGUCAUUCACUUAAAAACAAGUAAACGUUGUAUUAUUAAAAUAGAGUUUAAGGCAAUAAACCAAAAUGUUAACAGUGAUUAACUCU
rnacentral:lncRNA from 1 species